rnacentral:rRNA from 1 species
UGUUUUUUGUAGUGUUAUAAAAAAUAAAAUCUGCUCUAUGAUUUUUAAAUGGCCGCAGUAUUUUGACUGUGCGAAGGUAGCAUAAUAGCUUGUCUUCUAAUUGGAGUCUGGAAUGAAUGAUUAAAUGAAAGAUUUACUGUUUCUUUGGAAUUAUUGAAUUUUUAAGUUAGGUGAAGAUACUUAAAUGUUUUUAAAAGACGAGAAGACCCCAUCAAGUUUUAUAUUAUAUUUAUUUUAAGGUGUAUUAUUUAAUAAAUUUUGUAUUUAGUUGGGGCAAUUAUUAAAUAGGAAAAACUUUAAUUUUAUUAAAUGUUUAUUAGCAUAUAAAUUGUGAUCCUAGUAUUAGAUUUGAAGAUUAAAUUACUGUGGGGAUAACAGCGUAAUUUCUUUUUAGAGUUCAUAUCGAUGGAGAAGAUUGCGACCUCGAUGUUGGAUUAAGAUUCUUAUUUGGCGCAGGUGUUUAAUAAGGGGGGUCUGUUUCGACCUUNAAAUUCUUACA